rnacentral:rRNA from 1 species
UACGGAGGAUCCAAGCGUUAUCCGGAUUUAUUGGGUUUAAAGGGUGUCGUGAGGCGGAAAUGGAUAAGUCAGUGGUGAAAUCCUUCAGCUUAACUGGAGAACUGCCAUUGAUACUGUCAAUCUUGAGUACAUUUGAUGUGGGCGGAAUGUGUUCAUGUGAGCGGUGAAAUGCUUAGAUAUGAACACAGAAUCACCGAUUGCGAAGGACAGCUCACAAAACUGUGAACUGACGCUGAGGCACGAAAGCGUGGGUAUCAAACAGG